rnacentral:rRNA from 1 species
GACGAACGCUGGCGGCGUGCUUAACACAUGCAAGUCGAACGGAAAGGCCCUGCUUUUGUGGGGUGCUCGGGUGGCGAACGGGUGAGUAACACGUGAGUAACCUGCCCUUGACUUUGGGAUAACUUCAGGAAACUGGGGCUAAUACCGGAUAGGAGCUCCUGCUGCAUGGUGGGGGUUGGAAAGUUUCGGCGGUUGGGGAUGGACUCGCGGCUUAUCAGCUUGUUGGUGGGGUAGUGGCGUACCAAGGCUUUGACGGGUAGCCGGCCUGAGAGGGUGACCGGCCACAUUGGGACUGAGAUACGGCCCAGACUCCUACGGGAGGCAGCAGUGGGGAAUAUUGCACAAUGGGCGGAAGCCUGAUGCAGCAACGCCGCGUGCGGGAUGACGGCCUUCGGGUUGUAAACCGCUUUCGCCUGUGACGAAGCGUGAGUGACGGUAAUGGGUAAAGAAGCACCGGCUAACUACGUG